rnacentral:rRNA from 1 species
CGGGUUUCAAAAACAACAUCCACCCUGGCCACUGGAAUGGAACUGUAUUAAAAGCGGCGCGGUAUUUUGACCGUGCAAAGGUAUCAUAAUCGUUAGUUUUUUAAUUGAAAUCUUGUAUGAGUGGGUGGACAAAAAAAAAGGUGUCUUUAUAUAAUUAAUAGAAUUUAUCUUUUAAGAGAAGGGGCUUAUAUGUUUUAAGGUGACGAUAAGACCCUAUAAAGCUUUAUAUAGAUAUAUUAUUUGGUUAUAUUUUUUAUAAAAAUUUAGUAGGAGAAUUUUUUUUGUUGGGGCGAUGGGAGUAAAAUUAUUAUUAACUGCUUUAAGUUUUGAAUACAUUUUUGUUUGAUUAAAAAUUUAAAUGACCCUAAAAAAAGAAAAAAAGUUUAAUUUACUUAGGGGAUCACAGCGUUUUUUUUUUUGAGAGUACUUAUGAGAAAAAAAGUUUGCGACCGCCGAUGUUAAAUAAAAUUUCUUUAUAAUUGCAAAAGUUAAAGAAGGGGGGCUGUUCGACCUUUAAAAUUUUACUUGAUCUGAGCGCGGACCGGA